CUAGGCUAAUAUGACCNCGAGACCGAUAGCGAACAAGUACCGUGAGGGAAAGUUGAAAAGCACUUUGAAGAGAGAGUUCAAGAGUACGUGAAACCGUUUAGGGGUAAACCUGAGAAACCCGAAAGGUCGAAGGGAGAAAUUCAUUCGCGUUUCGCGAUAGGCAUCGUGUUCGCGCGCGACGGAGAGCGUUUCGACGUUAUUCCGCGCCACGAGCUCGACGAUCCUGACGCGAACGCGUGCACUUUUCUCCUGGUAGGACGUCGCGAUCCGUUGAGUGUCGGUCUACGGCUGACGGUGGAGCCCGAGAGUACGAUUCGCGUCGUUGCCCUCGGACCCGUCUGUUUCCCGGCCGGCUCGCUCGACGGUACGCAAACGGUUUUAGGCCGCUC
rnacentral:rRNA from 1 species